AAAUUGAAGAGUUUGAUCAUGGCUCAGAUUGAACGCUGGCGGCAGGCCUAACACAUGCAAGUCGAGCGGCAGCGGGAAAGUAGCUUGCUACUUUUGCCGGCGAGCGGCGGACGGGUGAGUAAUGCCUGGGGAUCUGCCCAGUCGAAGGGAAUAACUACUGGAAACGGUAGCUAAUACCGCAUACGCCCUACGGGGGAAAGCAGGGGACCUUCGGGCCUUGCGCGAUUGGAUGAACCCAGGUGGGAUUAGCUAGUUGGUGAGGUAAUGGCUCACCAAGGCGACGAUCCCUAGCUGGUCUGAGAGGAUGAUCAGCCACACUGGAACUGAGACACGGUCCAGACUCCUACGGGAGGCAGCAGUGGGGAAUAUUGCACAAUGGGGGAAACCCUGAUGCAGCCAUGCCGCGUGUGUGAAGA
rnacentral:rRNA from 1 species